UACGAAGGGGGCUAGCGUUGUUCGGAAUUACUGGGCGUAAAGGGCGCGUAGGCGGUACCUCAAGUCAGGCGUGAAAGCCCCGGGCUCAACCUGGGAACCGCGCUUGAGACUGGAGAACUAGAGUUCGGGAGAGGAUGGUGGAAUUCCCAGUGUAGAGGUGAAAUUCGUAGAUAUUGGGAAGAACACCGAUGGCGAAGGCAGCCAUCUGGACCGACACUGACGCUGAGGCGCGAAGGCGUGGGGAGCGAACGGG
rnacentral:rRNA from 1 species